AUUUAAAUAGCUUAUAUAAGAGUAUGGUGCUGAAGAUACCAAGGAAAAGAAAUUUUUUUAAAUA
rnacentral:tRNA from 1 species